rnacentral:rRNA from 1 species
GGGACAACAGUUGGAAACGACUGCUAAUACCGCAUAAGCCCACAGUCUCGCAUGAGACAGAGGGAAAAGGAGCAAUCCGCUUUGAGAUGGCCUCGCGUCCGAUUAGCUAGUUGGUGAGGUAACGGCCCACCAAGGCGACGAUCGGUAGCCGGACUGAGAGGUUGAACGGCCACAUUGGGACUGAGACACGGCCCAGACUCCUACGGGAGGCAGCAGUGGGGAAUAUUGCGCAAUGGAGGAAACUCUGACGCAGUGACGCCGCGUAUGGGAAGAAGGUUUUCGGAUUGUAAACCAUUUUAGACAAGGAAGAAACAAGACAGUACUUGUAGAAUAAGCUCCGGCUAACUAC